UCAGUUUACGGUUCUCAUUGCAGUUCAGAACUCGCUCCCGCAAACAUGGGCUGUAUUCAGAAAAGGGCUAAAAAAGUGAGAAUUUUUAAUCGCAAUGAUAUAAUACUUGCUGCUUUAUUAGAGCAAGCUAUAGCCUUGCAGCAGCAAGUAGACAGACUCCAAAUCACAUUGGAUAAGUAUCUGAAGUUGAGACUUCGAAUGAAGAAAAAGGCGAUGCGAAGGAGGAGGCAAAACUCGAAUAACUUCAAUUAAUGGUGACCGUUAAUAAGUUGUUCAGUUUUUCUUAAUUUAGUUCCAUUUAAACAUUGAGAUUUGAAAACAAAAUUAUUUCUAUCCUCCACAGUUUGGCAAAGUUACUACAAUAAGAGGAUGAAAACUCAAUUUUUGGUAAUUAAUUUAAAAAAUUAUAUUGUAAUGUAACUUUUCUUUUAUAAUUAAUAAAGGGAUUUAAUUUCUGGAUCUA